rnacentral:rRNA from 1 species
UACGGAGGGUGCGAGCGUUAAUCGGAAUUACUGGGCGUAAAGCGUGCGUAGGCGGUUAGUUAAGUCAGAUGUGAAAGCCCCGGGCUUAACCUGGGAACUGCAUUUGAUACUGGCUAACUAGAGUUUAAGAGAGGGGAGUGGAAUUUCAGGUGUAGCGGUGAAAUGCGUAGAGAUCUGAAGGAACACCAGUGGCGAAGGCGACUCCCUGGCUUAAAACUGACGCUGAGGUACGAAAGCGUGGGUAGCAAACAGG